AAGAUGCACCGUGAUGCACUGUGAGAAAUAUCCUCGUAUGUACGUGUGUGUGUGUUUGUGUUAGUGUCGUACACGUAUCGCUCGAUGGGGAUAUGCGGUAUUGCUGCCGGAGAAGCGAUGCACUCUUGUGUCUGCCGCCGCUUGGCAGAUCCGCCAACUACCACCCGCGACCCGCCGUUUCCGCCACUGUCAAGAGAAUCCAUAAAUCUGUCGUCGCGCUUGCCUAGCUCGCGAAUCAGGGGCGAACGGGGAAAAAGAAGAUAUCUGUGAAAACGAAUAGUAUGACGCAAAAUGGAAUUGAGAGAAGGAUGACGUUGGUGCGGGAGGAAGAGGGCGAUGAUAUAGCAGCGAGUAGAAAAACAGGAAGCUGGGUGCAGAGGCCAUAGAAUUGUCCAUGCAGCGAUGUUUAUGCGCUCCGUGGUGCUUGGACCAUGACGGUGUAAUUACAUCACCAAGCAGGUUUCGCCGAGAUCCAAUCGUACGACUACGUAGCGGCACAACUGGAUAAUACUGAUCAAAUACUGAUACCAGCUAUCCAUGCAAGUAUCACAGCCAUCAUACCGAUAAUCCCUUUGUUUGUUAUAAACAAUAGUAGUAAUCCUAUUCCGCAGGCGGCCCGUACAGGUAUUUAAUCGCAUCGCAAAUAUUGUGAUUUAACAGCUAUUUGUAAAUUGUAAUAGUGUUGUAAAUCUAAGCGUACAAUAAUAUUGUAUUUUAUA
rnacentral:lncRNA from 13 species